rnacentral:rRNA from 1 species
GAUGAACGCUGGCGGCGUGCUUAACACAUGCAAGUCGAACGGUAAGGCCCUUCGGGGUACACGAGUGGCGAACGGGUGAGUAACACGUGGGUGAUCUACCCUGCACUUCGGGAUAAGCCUGGGAAACUGGGUCUAAUACCGGAUAGGACCACUGCCUGCAUGGGUGGUGGUGGAAAGCUUUUGCGGUGUGGGAUGGCCCGCGGCCUAUCAGCUUGUUGGUGGGGUGAUGGCCUACCAAGGCGACGACGGGUAGCCGGCCUGAGAGGGUGACCGGCCACACUGGGACUGAGAUACGGCCCAGACUCCUACGGGAGGCAGCAGUGGGGAAUAUUGCACAAUGGGCGCAAGCCUGAUGCAGCGACGCCGCGUGAGGGAUGACGGCCUUCGGGUUGUAAACCUCUUUCAGCACCGACGAAGCGCAAGUGACGGUAGGUGCAGAAGAAGGACCGGCCAACUACGUGCCAGCCGCCGCAGUAA